rnacentral:rRNA from 1 species
UACGGGAAGGCAGCAGUGGGGAAUAUUGCACAAUGGGCGAAAGCCUGAUGCAGCUAUGCCGCGUGUAUGAAGAAGGCCUUAGGGUUGUAAAGUACUUUCAUCGGGGAGGAAAAACAAAACUAAUAAUUUUAUUUCUUGACGUUACCCGAAAAAGAAGCACCGGCUAACUCCGUGCCAGCAGCCGCGGUAAUACGGAGGGUGCUAGCGUUAAUCAGAAUUACUGGGCGUAAAGAGCACGUAGGUGGUUUUUUUAAGUCAGAUGUGAAUCCCUGGGCUUAACCUGGAACUGCAUUUUGAAACUGAAAUACUAGAGUAUCGUAGAGGGAGGUAGAAUUCUAGGUGUAGCGGUGAAAUGCGUAGAUAUCUGGAGGAAUACCUGUGGCGAAAGCGGCCUCCUAAACGAAUACUGACACUGAGGUGCGAAAGCGUGGGGAGCAAACAGGGAUUAGAUACC